rnacentral:rRNA from 1 species
UACGUAGGUGGCAAGCGUUGUUCGGAAUUACUGGGCGUAAAGGGCUCGUAGGUGGCCAACUAAGUCAGACGUGAAAUCCCCAGGCUCAACUUGGGAACUGCGUCUGAUACUGGAUGGCUUGAAUUCGGGAGAGGGAUGCAGAAUUCCAGGUGUAGCGGUGAAAUGCGUAGAUAUCUGGAGGAAUACCGGUGGCGAAGGCGGCAUCCUGGACCGAGAUUGACACUGAUGAGCGAAAGCUAGGGGAGCAAACGGG